rnacentral:lncRNA from 1 species
UUAGGAGGACUUUUGCUUUUCUACGUGGGGAGGAGCACAGACCAAGUCUGGUUCUCUUUUUAUCUGGUCUUUGACCCCAUUUUCCCUCUUUCAAAAAAGAUGGCAGAGUCUCCUCUAUGAAAUUGUCUGUAUCAAUAUAAGAAUAAGCCUCUGAAGUAUCAUUACUAAAGGAGUCUCUGAGUCCUUAAGAGUGCUCAUCCAAGAAAUCAUGACCUGUAGUUGCUCUACAAUAAAUGGACCAAAGAUUCCUUGCCAGGGUACAGCAGAUUUGUCUUUCCUAGUGUUACAGUCUAAGCAGCCUCCACACUAUGAAUUGACCAGUAGCAAGCAUGGAACGCCAACAGCU